AGUGGAGUAGGCAUUUUGUGAGAAACAGCCAUCGUGAGCUUUCUCACCUGCAGAAGCUCCUAAGUGGGACACAGGACUGGUCAAAGACUGAGAUUCUCACACCAGUGCAAACUGGAAAAGAAAGACCAUUGUACAGAUCUGCAUUUGAAGAGAUGGGUCACCAAGAAAAGUCCUUUUCAUCUUUGGUCUGAAUAAUCUGGAUUUCCAAACUUCAAGAAAAGGUUAUGCCAAAAUGGGCUGAAAUGUGGAAUGCAUAUGUAUACAGAACCCAGCUGAUGAACACCCUAACAUCCAGCUCAUUAACAGACUCUCACAAAUUGGCUGAAAAAUAUAUAGAAAAAAAUAGUCUUCAUUUGUGGCAUGUAUUUAAGCUUUCCCUGAUAAUUGUUCUUUGUUGUUAUACAAUACUUGUGCCAUAUUUAUUGUUGUAAAAUAAUAAAUGCAAUACAAUGAAUAGAAAAAAGCUAUUUAGUUUUUCACAUCUGUGAUUCUGGAGCCCAGAAAGUAAAACAUAGAGGCAAAACACAACCUUAAAAUGUUGGUGGGGGGAGCACUGGCAGGGAGGCAGGCUCCUGAUGGCCUCCCCACACACAACCAGUCUCCCCAGUUUGCUCUGCUGCUCCCUGCAGCAGCACAGGAGAGGCAGAGCAGGGAGGAGGAAGUGCUCCUGCAUCCCACAGUGCACUGUGCCAGGAGUAUGAUGCACGGAGGAAUCCUCAUUCAGCCAGGUGCUCUUGCCACCCAGCUCUGUGUGUUAUUGUUCUCAGAUUUUUAAAACUCAAUCAGAUCAAUAAUUCCAAAAUGACCUCAUGCCCAAGAGAAGCAGAUCUUUCUCAGAUUCAAAUUUACCAUGUAUGGUAAUUAUUCAAGAAAAUGAAUAAAUGAAGUUGAAAUUCUACAAAUUUCAAACUGCUCUUUUACUUCCCUUUUGUAAGCAUAUUAAUAAAAUUAUAUUACAUAUA